rnacentral:rRNA from 1 species
UAGCCGUAAACGAUACUCGCUAGGUGUCGGCCACGGUGCGACCGUUGUCGGUGCCGUAGGGAAGCCGUGAAGCGAGCCACCUGGGAAGUACGGCCGCAAGGCUGAAACUUAAAGGAAUUGGCGGGGGAGCACCACAACGGGUGGAGCUUGCGGUUUAAUUGGAUUCAAACGCCGGAAAUCUUACCGGGACCGACAGCAACAUGAAGGCCAAGCUGAAGACUUUGCCGGAUUAGCUGAGAGGAGGUGCAUGGCGU